GGUAAGUUAGCUAAUUGGUGAAGCGGCUGACUGUUAAUCAGUGAUAGAGUGGUUCGAGUCCACUACUUACCGCCA
rnacentral:tRNA from 1 species